rnacentral:lncRNA from 1 species
CAAAGUGCUAACCGGAAUGCCGGGAGCUGCGACCGGUAAAACGCCGGCACAGGCAGUCCUAGGACAGAGAAAGCGACGGCCCCGCGCGACCCUGAAACUUUGCGCUCGGCGCAAUUACUGGCACCGCAAUCCGAAAACUAUCCGGUGGGCGCUGCUAGUGAGAGUCGUGCUGAGAAACGGGCGGCUGGUCGCAAGGAGCGGCGCUGCCACCGAGGAACACCUGGCUUGGCCCAAGGAGACGAGCUGCCAGCCAGACCCGCGGUUUUGUCGAAUCCAGCGGGACUGGGACCGCAACAUCCUGCAGAACGAAAAGAGGAGCGCUGCCAGCGAAAUACACCCAGCUCUGCGCAACCGGUGCUACCGCGACCCACAAGGCGCCAGCCAGGCUCUGCCGGAAACCGCGGCCUACAAACCUCGGCCGGUGCACCUAGUGGCGCCAAGGCUGACAAACGCCCACGCGGAGCGCCUACUGGUGCUGGGACCAGCAAGGGCCAGCACGCAGCACAGAGCAGUGCAGCGUCCCGGAAACAUCCGGCUCUGCGAAGGGAGCGGUGCCGCCCCCAAGGCACCGACCGGGGCUGGGCGCUGCCGGCGAAAGUACUAACGAGAAACCGCCGCCUCGGUUCACCCUUCGGAGCCGCGCGCGCGAUCCGCUGCUCGGAGGAAAGAGCGGUGCUGGGGCGCAGCAAAUGGCUGUCGUGAAUCAAAGACAAGCAUCCGUCUUCGCGGGAUCAGCUGUGCUGCCAGCGAGUAACCACCAGCUCCGACAAUGAGCGGCAGCGCCAGUGGGAAACCGUCGGUAUCUGAAAUGAGCGGUGCCGCCGCAAAUAAACUGGCAGCUUGGUGCUACUCGUCAAAGCGCUGCAGAUGCCUCCACGACAUGGCUGAUGAGUGGAGUAUGUCUGCACCCAAGACCUGAACCUGUGAACCCGGACACCAAAGUGGAGCGUGCAGAAGUUCAACCACUCAGCCAUGGGCCAGCCCCCAUGCUCAUGAUUUUUAGAUGAGAAAAAGAUAAAUGUAAAAGAAAAGAACAAAUUCCCCUUGACAUUUCAUCUUAAAAUUUUAGCAUUCCUUUCUUAUAAGCCCUUUCACCAAGGAUUAAAUAAGUUAUUUAAAUCAAAA